rnacentral:rRNA from 1 species
UACGUAGGUGGCGAGCGUUGUCCGGAUUUACUGGGCGUAAAGGGAGCGUAGGCGGACUUUUAAGUGAGAUGUGAAAUACCCGGGCUCAACUUGGGUGCUGCAUUUCAAACUGGAAGUCUAGAGUGCGGGAGAGGAGAAUGGAAUUCCUAGUGUAGCGGUGAAAUGCGUAGAGAUUAGGAAGAACACCAGUGGCGAAGGCGAUUCUCUGGACUGUAACUGACGCUGAGGCUCGAAAGCGUGGGGAGCAAACAGGAUUAGAUACCCUGGUA